UGCCCUGGAGGCCCAGGCCUGACCCCUAUUUCUUUCUACCUAGUCUGCAUUUAAAUCCCAUCGCUACCCUCCGCCUCCCUGCUCCUGCUCUGAACUACUGCGAGAGCCUAAGAAGGGAUCCCCCUGUUGCUGCUCUGGAUCCCAAACAACUCUCCCCACAUUUUGGCGCACAUCACUAUGAACUGCCCACGCCCUACCCCACCCCACGCUUCCUUGUUCCUGCUCACACUGGCCCCUUGAAGUGCUCCUGGCUUUACAAGCUCAUUUUUGCUGCAUGACUUACCUUCCCUGAUCAUUAUAUCUAAACCUGACCCCUGGUCCAAGGCACUCCCAAAUAGGUAAUACUCUGAAGGAAGAAAUACCACAAAUAAGCAUGUAAGGUAGUGUUCAGCUUCACAGCUCUGGUGGAAUUACUGGUCUGGAUGCUUCACUUUACUGCAAUAGUGGCCUCCAGCCAAGAUGACAUUAUGCGCACAGACACGCCACUGUCUACUGACGGAGUUCAUCAGUCAGUGUGAGCGCGCGUUGCCGGAAGAUGUGACUCUCUUCCCCCUCACCCCGAGGACAAGGCAGGGCCACCGCACGAUGCAGCAACAUGCCGAUCUCCAUGGAUUCCCGAAACACAG